rnacentral:rRNA from 1 species
AGUAAAAGUCGUAACAAGGUUUCCGUAGGUGAACCUGCGGAAGGAUCAUUACAGAGUUCAUGCCCGAAAGGGUAGACCUCCCACCCUUGUGUAUUAUUACUUUGUUGCUUUGGCGAGCUGCCUUCGGGCCUUGUAUGCUCGCCAGAGAAUACCAAAACUCUUUUUAUUAAUGUCGUCUGAGUACUAUAUAAUAGUUAAAACUUUCAACAACGGAUCUCUUGGUUCUGGCAUCGAUGAAGAACGCAGCGAAAUGCGAUAAGUAAUGUGAAUUGCAGAAUUCAGUGAAUCAUCGAAUCUUUGAACGCACAUUGCGCCCCCUGGUAUUCCGGGGGGCAUGCCUGUUCGAGCGUCAUUUCACCACUCAAGCCUCGCUUGGUAUUGGGCAACGCGGUCCGCCGCGUGCCUCAAAUCGUCCGGCUGGGUCUUCUGUCCCCUAAGCGUUGUGGAAACUAUUCGCUAAAGGGUGUUCGGGAGGCUACGCCGUAAAACAACCCCAUUUCUAAGGUUGACCUCGGAUCAGGUAGGGAUACCCGCUGAACUUAAGCAUAUCAAUAAGCGGAGGAAAAGAAACCAACAGGGAUUGCCCCAGUAACG